AACAAACGCUGGCGGCGUGCCUAACACAUGCAAGUCGUACGAGAAAGGGUCCUUCGGGGCCUGAGUAAAGUGGCGCACGGGUGAGUAACGCGUGGAUAAUCUGCCCCUCAGUUGGGAAUAACUCAUCGAAAGGUGGGCUAAUACCGAAUAAUGCUGUGAGACCUCGGUUGAUCAGCCAAAGAGAGCCUCUGCUUGCAAGCCCUCGCUGAAGGAUGAGUCCGCGUACCAUUAGCUAGUUGGUAGGGUAAUGGCCUACCAAGGCGACGAUGGUUAGCUGGCCUGAGAGGAUGAUCAGCCACACUGGAACUGAGACACGGUCCAGACUCCUACGGGAGGCAGCAGUGAGGAAUCUUGCGCAAUGGGGGCAACCCUGACGCAGCAACGCCGCGUGAGUGAGGAAGGUCUUCGGAUCGUAAAGCUCUGUCGGAUGGAAAGAACCGCAUAGGGGUAAACAGCCCCUGUGUCUGACGGUACCAUCAAAGGAAGCACCGGCUAACUCCGUGCCAGCCGCCGCCGUAAAAC
rnacentral:rRNA from 1 species